UAAGUAAAAGUCGUAACAAGGUUUCCGUAGGUGAACCUGCGGA
rnacentral:rRNA from 1 species